AACGAACGCUGGCGGCAGGCUUAACACAUGCAAGUCGAGCGCCCCGCAAGGGGAGCGGCAGACGGGUGAGUAACGCGUGGGAAUCUACCCAUCUCUACGGAAUAACGCAUGGAAACGUGUGCUAAUACCGUAUACGUCCUUCGGGAGAAAGAUUUAUCGGAGAUGGAUGAGCCCGCGUUGGAUUAGCUAGUUGGUGGAGUAAAGGCCUACCAAGGCGACGAUCCAUAGCUGGUCUGAGAGGAUGAUCAGCCACACUGGGACUGAGACACGGCCCAGACUCCUACGGGAGGCAGCAGUGGGGAAAAUUGGACAAUGGGCGCAAGCCUGAUCCAGCCAUGCCGCGUGAGUGAUGAAGGCCCUAGGGUUGUAAAGCUCUUUCACCGGUGAGGAUAAUGACGGUAACCGGAGAAGAAGCCCCGGCUAACUUCGUGCCAGCCGCCGCCGUAACAC
rnacentral:rRNA from 1 species